rnacentral:miRNA from 1 species
GACGUCGAUAUUCGACCUGAUAAACACCAUCAACUUUGGUAUUUAUGACGUCGAUAUUCGGCGCAAUAAACGCGAUCAAUUUGGUGUUUAUGACGUCGACGUCAUAAACACGAUUAACUUCGGUGUUUAUGACGUCGACAUUCGACGUCAUAAACACGAUCAACUUAUGUGUUUAUGACGUCGAUAUUUGACCUCAUUAACACGAUCAACUUUGGUGUUUAUGACGUCGAUAUUCGAGGUC